GACUACCGGGGUAUCUAAUCCUGUUUGCUCCCCACGCUUUCGUGCAUGAGCGUCAGUAUUAUCCCAGGAGGCUGCCUUCGCCAUCGGUGUUCCUCCGCAUCUCUACGCAUUUCACUGCUACACGCGGAAUUCCACCUCCCUCUGACAUACUCUAGCCUUGCAGUCACGAAUGCAGUUCCCAGGUUGAGCCCGGGGAUUUCACAUCCGUCUUACAAAACCGCCUGCGCACGCUUUACGCCCAGUAAUUCCGAUUAACGCUUGCACCCUACGUAUUACCGCGGCUGCUGGCACGUAGUUAGCCGGUGCUUAUUCUGCGGGUACCGUCAUUAGCGCCAGGUAUUAACCAGCGCCGUUUCGUUCCCGCCAAAAGUGCUUUACAACCCGAAGGCCUUCUUCACACACGCGGCAUUGCUGGAUCAGGGUUUCCCCCAUUGUCCAAAAUUCCCCACUGCAGCCACCCGUAGG
rnacentral:rRNA from 1 species